rnacentral:tRNA from 1 species
AUUUAAAUAGUUUAAUGGAUAAAAUUUUAGUUUGUGGGACUAAGGAUGUAUUAAUAUACUUUAAAUA